rnacentral:tRNA from 1 species
GUUAAUGUAGCUUAAUAAUAAAGCAAGGCACUGAAAAUGCCUAGAUGGGUGUUUACACCCCAUGAACA